rnacentral:rRNA from 1 species
GUUUGAUCCUGGCUCAGAAUGAACGCUAGCGAUAUGCUUAACACAUGCAAGUUGAACGUUGUUUUCGAGUCAAAAUGAAAACAAAGUGGCGAACGGGUGCGUAACACGUGGGAAUCUGCCAAACAGUUUGGGCCAAAUCCUGAAUGAAUGAAAGCUAAAAAGCGCUGUUUGAUGAGCCCACGUAGUAUUAGGUAGUUGGUUAGGUAAAGGCUGACCAAGCCUACGAUGCUUAGCUGGUCUUUUCGGAUGAUCAGCCACACUGGGACUGAGACACGGCCCAGACUCCUACGGGAGGCAGCAGUGGGGAAUCUUGGACAAUGGGCGAAAGCCUGAUCCGGCAAUAUGGCGUGAGUGAAGAAGGGCAACGCAGCUUGUAAAGCUCUUUCAUCGAGUGUGCGAUUGUGACAAGACUGGAAUAAGAAGCCCCGGCUAACUCCGUGCCAGCAGCCGCGGUAAGACGGGGGGGGCUAGUGUUAUUCGGAAUGACUAGGCGUAAAGGGCACGUAGGCGGUGAAUCCGGUUGAAAGUGAAAGUCGCCAGCUCAACUGGCGGAAUGCUUUCAAAACCAAUUCACUUGAGUAAGAUAGAGGAUAGUGGAAUUUCGUGUGUAGAGAUAAAAUUCACAGAUAUACGAAGGAACGCCAAACGCGAAGGCAGCUAUCUGGGCCUCUACUGACGCAGAGGUGCGAAAGCAUAGGGAGCAAACAGGAUUAGAUACCCUGGUAGUCUAUGCCGUAAACGAUGAGUGUUCGUCCUUGGUCUGCUCUGUAUGCAAAAUGGCUGAUCAGGGGCUCAGCUAACGCGUUAAACACUCCGCCUGGGGAGUACGGCCGCAAGGCUGAAACUCAAAGGAAUUGACGGGGGCCUGCACAAGCGGUGGAGCAUGUGGUUUAAUUCGAUACAACGCGCAAAACCUUACCAGCCCUUGACAUAUGAAUAAGUUUGCUUGUCCUUAAUGGGAUGGUACGAAAAUUUAUACAGGUGCUGCAUGGCUGUCGUCAGCUCGUGUCGUGAGAUGUUGGGUUAAGUCCUAUAACGAGCGCAACCCUCGUUUUGUGUUGCUAAGACAUGCGUUUUGGAUUAAAGGAUCGAUUAUUGAGCACUUAAAAGUAACGAAGACCACAACAUUAAAAAAGGAUAUCACAAGACCGUGUGGCAUCAGCAUCACAGUUGUCGAAGGGUACUUCGACAGAGCACAGCUCUCAUAGCGUGGCACACAUAACAAUGUGGCACCCAGUCUUUGUAAAAAUAAUUGUCAAUCCAUGCCAUGUACUGCACUCACAAGAAACUGCCAGUGAUAUACUGGAGGAAGGUGGGGAUGACGCCAAGUCCGCAUGGCCCUUAUGGGCUGGGCUACACACGUGCUACAAUGGCAAUUACAAUAGGAAGCAAGGCUUUAAGGCGGAGCGAAUCCAGAAACAUGGCCUCAGUUCGGAUUGUUCUCUGCAACUCGAGAACAUGAAGUUGGAAUCGCUAGUAAUCGCGGAUCAGCAUGCCGCGGUGAAUAUGUACUCAGGCCCUGUACACACCGCCCGUCACACCAUGGGAAUUCGUUCGCCCGAAGCAUCAGACCAAGGAUCACCCAAUAUUCCAGUGCUCCAUGCCGUUGUUGAGUGUGGUCUACCAGAGUAAUUGGUUGGUUUAAUGUGGGAUACCAAGGUGGGGCCUUUGACUGAGGUGAAGUCGUAACAAGGUAGCCGUAGGGGAACCUGUGGCU